AGUCCAUGGUGAGGGACCUUCCUUAACAGCUCCUUAUAAUGCUCCCAUGACUCAUAUAAAGAUUCUGCAUCUUGUUGAAAGAAAGUGGUGAUGUCAUUUCUCAUUUU
rfam:Nelumbo nucifera unplaced genomic scaffold scaffold00115, whole genome shotgun sequence